UGAGGUCUUGUCAGCAGGUAACUACUUCCUGCUUCUGCCACACAACCCAAGCCCUGUUCUCUGGUAUCCAGAAGUGGCCCAGUGGCAGAGUCAAAUCUGAGGUGCUGGGUCAGGAAAUGAAUGAUGAAGGUGAAUGCUACCAAUGAAGCACCUAUCCACCUGUAUGGUAUGAAGGAAAAGCAUUCUGAGGUGAUAAAAAGGUGUUCCAUUGUGCAACACAGAGAUUGGAAAGCUGCAGUACAUACAUAAGAUGAAGCAUUCAAACAGAACUGAGAAGUAAGAUAUUGGUGGUCAAGAUUGUAAAAAGGAAAGUGUGAGUGGUGGCGUAGGGUUCCAGUGAAUUUUGGAAAUUUCAUGUGAGCUCAUGUAAGCAGACACUGGGAAGACAUUCCCUUAAACAGACUCUGAAUUUGAGGACAUCAGCUGGAGCCCCUCUCUUUUGCCCAGUGUGGCUCUGGGAUUUUGCCUCUGUCGUGUCAUGCACAGUGAGAUAAGGACAGGAAGAGUCCCCUUAUCUGGCUUUCAGGACUGGACAAAGACAUCCCACAUUACAGCUGAAGGAGAGUGAUACCUCUACUGUAGGAGUACUCUCAAGAACAAGAAUUUCUGCUCAUAUUGGGACACCCCUGUAUUCUAAAAAUUACCACAGAUGAAAUUAGGAGUUUCUCUCUUGAGUCUUUGUAUCCAUGGACAAGGAGAAAAUCCUGGCACCUGGGGUGAAGAAGAUCAUCCACAAACAUGUUUUCCAUCUUGCGUUUCUCACGAGGACAGAAGACCUCAGCUGCAGAGCCUCAGGGAAGAAAGCUUCCAGGUUCCCCCAUGGACCAGUGGACAGCUGGUCGAAAGAUGUAAGAUGGAGUAGUAUUAAAGUGGCUUGAUUCAGACAAAAAUAUAAUAAUUAUUAUAUUUUAAUGGUGAAUAUACACUUGUGAACUUUAAUGCUUCUGGUCUUCAAAAUUUAGGAUGUGUCCCUGAUUCUAACUUUUUCUGAACAAAAAUACAGACAUCGCAGAAGGGAGAUUAUUUUGCUUCUGCCCCUCUUUAGCAUACCUUCUUUUUCAGAUAAUUAUAUAUGUUUCACAUAUAAAUAUAUGUGAAUGCUACAGAAUAUUGUAUCUUGUAGGACAGCAUAAUUGUUUUCUGCACAUCUGUUUAUGAAGGUGCUAAUUUUCUGAUAUCUACUGUAAUACUAUAGGAAGUAGGAUUACAUCGCCUAGAUCUUUAAUAGAAGGUAGAUAUUAGGUCAUAGAUCAUUGCAUUGUUGUUAAAGCAAAAGGAUUUGAAAAGUUUAGUUGGUGCUGCCAAGGCAAUGCAACUGAUUAAGUAUUUUAGGCAUUUGUCCAAAGAUCAUGCCAUGAAAUAAUCUAAUGGAUACUAGCUUGGUAUAGCAAUAUUACUCUCUUCACAUAUGAAGUGUCCUAAUUUGAUAUGUGCACAUGACAUCCCAUUUAUGAAAUAUUUAUUAUUAGUAGUAGGAUUCCCCAUGGUUAUGCAUGCAACACAUCAUUUAUGUGUACCCCAAAUGAUGGAGACCAGGAUAUAGUGAAUGUCCAGUAUUUACAGUAGAUUCUAUGAAUAGUACCCAGGUCCCCCAUUAUGAAUGCCAUGCAAACUGGAGAUCAUAAUCAAAUAUCAGCAAAUUCAGGAGAAAAUACCUGCAUUGAUGAUACUUGGAAAAUAAUUCAUAGUUGAACUUACAUAUUGAACUUACAAUCGAUUUAGACACUAUAUGCUCCAAUGUUAGACUGACCAAGUCUAGAAUAUAUAAUAAUUACUAAUAAACUGUUCUUAGCGAUAAGGAACACAGCAUAAAACAGAUCAAAAGGGCAACUCUCAGAAUUGCCUAGUGUGACAAUGAGCUUUCUAGAUCUUUUGAUUCCAGCGGGGAAGCAGGAGGAAGAAAUGAGAGCAGGAAUAGAUGGAGGUGUAGAAGAAUGAGGAGAAGACCAGCAACAUAUGUAAUACAAAUCUAAGUAUUAUUUGAUCAUUUAGCAAGGAUUUUCAAAUUUCCUCAUUCUACAUACAAAGUGUGAAUGAGGUAUUUGGAUAACAAAUAUUAAUAGAAACUAUAUAUAUAUGUAUAUAACAGUAGAGAGAACAACUGUGUAUAUAUGGUAUAAAACACAUAUAUAAAUAUAGAAAGAGGUAAUAUUUAUAUCAUAUACACACACAUACAUAUUAUGCAGCAACAUGAAUGAAGAAAUGAAAAACUGUCACUUCCUCUGGAGCACACAGUGACCAUUAUCAAGCAGUGAACGUGAUGUGGUAUACUCAUCAAUGCUCAACACCCAGCGCAUCUAAUAUAAAUACAAAGGAAAUACAAAGGGCUCCUCAUUUUCAUUUGUUGUGAAAUGUCAGAUGCCAGAAAAUAGAAAUCCAUUGUGUUCUUUGCACGGAAGGCUAUUUGUACUCAAUUCUGUAAAAAAAAAAAAAAAAAAAAAAAAAAUUGAAUGAAUGAGGCCUGUUUAUAGAGUAAGUACUGAUACCAAUGCUGAUGAUUUAGUUUAACAUAUGCUUAGUGUUCCAAAUAAAGGGUUAUCUACCUUAACUUUAGGCAUCAUGGGCCUCAUAGCCCAGUGUUUCAAGUCCACCCUGUGAGUGUUUUAGGCUUCUCUAAAGUGUUCUACACUUUUCACUGUUCUUCAUUGAAGUCUGAAUCUGAUUUCAUUUUCCUGGCUUGUGAUGGUGGUUGAUGGGUAAGUUUUAUGGGGAAGAGGUUUUUCUGGAUAAAGUCCAGACUUUGGUCUACCAUUCUCAGUGGUCUGAGAUUUUCUCUCUUUCUGAUAAUAGAGCCUUGAGUUGAGUUACUCUCUUUUUCCCAUUACUAACUGCAGUCUUAUGAUUAUAUGAUUCCUGCUUCAAGAAGCAUUUGGUGAUGCAAUGAUGUGAAGAAUCAUUGUAGUUUGUGAAUAUAAGAAACAACUAUAGAGGCAGUGCUAAAGAGGACGUGCCUUUCCAUUAUAUAUGUUUUCAUUAACAAGUUGAAUUCAUUUCCUAUAUUUGCAAGAAAUGUAGGGAGGGCAUUCCAGAGUAUAUUGUAAUAUUUACUUUAGAUAUCAAAUAUCAUAACUUGGAAGAUGUUGCCAGAAAUGAAUUAAAUUGAUGAGGUAGGAGUACAAAAAGAUCAUGUUCUUUGGCUGCAUGGAUAGCCAGGUGAUAACAUGCCCAAGACUUUAUGAUGUAAUAGCAGAGCUUAUUUUCAGAAUCAUUUAGACUAGAAGACCAGGAUGAAGGUAGUAGCAGCUUUGAUUCUUGUGAGGGUGUGUCCUGCAGCAAAUACGACAGUCUUCACACUCUACCCUCAGUAUGUGUUAAAAGAAUGAUUGGAAUUUAGGAAUUUUGGCCAGAACAGUCCAACUGUAACAGUUAUGGGAGUAGAGUUGAUGAUAAUCUGGAUUGGAUGCUUCUCCCUUAAUGAUCCUUGUGCCUUUCCUGCAGAUUUCAGUCCAAAAACUACCAGUAUGUUCUGGCCUUGGUUUUUGAUAUUGAGAUCAUCAAAAAGAACCCCCAUUUUUUACCCAACAUGACCUGGGAAUUUGGUCUCUAUAAUGGCAUGCACAGUGACAUGAUGGUGACAGGGAAUCCCUUCCUCUGGCUUGCGGGCCUGGAAUAGGACAUUGCUAAUUACAUGUGUAGGAAAGAGCAAGUCUGUAGCCAGGAUUUCAGGAAUGAGCAUUAGUGUCCAAAUAGGGACACUGCUAGAACUCUACAAAACUCCACAGGUGAGUGUUUACAGGAAAGAUAGGGGAAAAUAUCAUAUCACCUUAACUGCCUUACUCAGAACAAAAAGGGAAAUGACUGACACCUUAUGCUUUAGCCACAAUGUGUAAUCUAAAGAGGAGCCAUGCAGAGGUUUGGAGGAGUAACCACAUUUGCUUGAUACAGAGGUGUGGUGAAAUGAAAAUGGAAACAUUUUCCUCAACCUGUGAGUCUAAACUCACAACCGAGGAAGUUCUCAUGUAGUGGGAGAUGAGAAAAAUGGAAUAUUCAAAUACCUGUGACACUUCAAACAUUUGCUUAAUUACCUUCAGAAAUAAGAUUGUAUAUUCUGGAAAUAACCUUACACAUAUUUCUUGCAUUUUCCUUUAGCUGACUCUUGGGUCUUUUGAACUGCUUCUGAGUGACAGUGGUCAGUUAGCUUCUCUCUAUCAGAUGGUCCCCAAAGACACUUCUCUGGCCCUUGGCGUGGUCUCCCUGAUGCUCCAUUUCAGUUUCAUCUGGAUGGGUUUGGCCAUUUCAGACCUCCCAAAAGGUACUCAGUCUAUUUCUGAUUUGAAAAUUGAGAUGCAGAAGAAUGGUAUCUGCCUAGACUUUUGGAAUUUAUUCCAGCCACUGAGGAUUCAUGAUCUUGUAUCCCCUGGCCGUAUCACAUCCAGAUGCUAAAAUGAUCAGCAAAGGUGGUUAUUCUUUUCUGUGACACUGAUUUUCUCAUGGGAAGAUUUAAUGACAUUGAAAGUCUGAGUCACCACCUCACAAUGGGAUUUUGCCACCAACUGGAGACUUUUUCUGCUCCACUCAUUCCAUGGGACUCUCAUGUUUUCACACCACCAUAGUGAGAUCUCGGGUUUCAAAAAUUUUCUUCAGACACCAAACCCUUCCAAAUACCCAGAAGACAUUUACCUCUCCAGAUUCUGGUUGCUAGUUUUUGAUUGCUCAGUUACUGGAAUAACCUGCAAAACCUUGCAUAACUGUCCACUGAAUGCCUCCUUGGAAUGGUUGCCUCUGCUUCAUUUUGAUAUGACCAUAUACAAUGCUGUGUAUGCUGUGGCCCACAGCGUACAUGAGAUGCUUCUACAAGAGGUAGAAAUGCAGCCAGUGAACAAUGGGGCAAAGGUAGCAUUUUCUCCCUAGCAGGUAACUUGGUUUCCACUGCAUGACAUGUACUCCUGAAGUGAUCCCCUUAAGAGCUUCUGCAGGUGUUCAAACCAAAUAGCUUGGGAUCCUUUCUUAAAUCACCAGAAAUCAUGCAGUUGUUUCAGUGUCUAGGAUAUAAAUGUGCCCCUUUCAUUAACUUUGUCUUCAGCAACAAGGUUCCAUUGACUACUGUGAAAACAUCUGUGGAUAAGUAUCAGUGCUGUGUGAAAAAGAAUGCAGCAUCUUCUCUAUUUAAGGUUUAUGUAUAUGAAAUACCUAGCCUUUGUCUCUAUUUUAAAACUAAGCAGUAGGAGAAUUACUUCUAGUGUCAGAUGGUGCUGAGGUGUUCAGGGAUAUUGGAGUUAAUGAUCUUAGGUAAUUUGCACACAUUUGUAUGUGGGUAGCUUCAUUUUACUGUAUGUUGUCAUAGAAUCAUGGAGAAAGUAAUAGAGUCUAGAUUUGUCCAAAUCUCACACCUAGUGAUUUUGAUUGCUCAUGUUUUUUAAUGAAAAUGAUUGAAAUCUUGUGGGGAGCAACUCAAACUAGACUGCUACUGGAAUUCAGACUUAUUCUAUGCAUCUGCUCUCCCACAAUAUGGCGCUGGGAGAGGAGGAAACAGCUUCUACACAGCUGCCUCCAGUUCAACCAAUAAACAGCAGGACCUGCUCCUGAUUGGAGGAGAGCAGCGUACUCGGCGUGUGGGUAGCAGAGUUGGGAUUGGUGGAAGAGGACUAUAAAGGAGGAGAGAGACAACAUGCACAAGGAACAUCUAAGGGGAACAUCUAUCUGAAGGAACACCUGUGCUGUCCCCGAGAGAGCCGGUCGGUGGUGUGCCACUCCCCUGCGGAAGUGGGGAAAGUGGCAGGGGGAACCGCCCUUCCACGGAGGUGGAAGGGAUGGUAGCCAACCCGGGAAGAACCAGCAGCAAACCCGGGGAGGGCCGAGCAGACAAAAGAACAGCGCAGGGUCCUGUGUUGUUCCUCCACGAAGAAGGGGAGCGGCAUAAUGGUGCCGUGACUCGGAUAUGAAGCCUAGGAGACAUAAUGGUGCCGUGACUCAGAUAGGAAACCUAGACAGGGUUUAGUGUCAUUCCUCCAUGAAGAGGGGGAGCGACAUAAUGGUGCCGUGACUCGGAUAAGAAACUUAGGAGGGAAGAAACGGAAAGAAGUGGGAAAAUACCGGAGAGAGAGACUAGCAAAGAGCCUAGGGAAAAGCCAGACGGAAAAGGUGCUGGAAGAAGCUAUUGAAAGCCUAGGCAUAGACUCGGAUACGGACUAUGGCGGGGAAGCUGGGAGAAAUCUCUAAGGUUGAAAGUGAAAGUGAAACCUAGAAGAAAUUUAGACUCGGAUACGGACUGUGGGGAGAAGCCAGGAGAAGUGAGAGGGGAAUAUUGUUGGAAGAAAAGUUAGGAAACAUACCGGGUAGAGAAAAAUAUGUUAGGGAGGAUGAAGCCGCGGGGGCAGGCUGAGGUGGAGACGUAAGCUAGCUUGGGAUUCUUCAAGUCAGCCCGGGGAGCAAAAGGUGAAAAGCUAAAACUAGAGGCGGACGCGUAAGCCAGGUUGGAAUCUGUCAGAUUAGCCCGGGGAGCAAAAGACGGGAAGCCAAACCGAAAGGUGCGGACGUGAGCUAGGUUGAAUUCACCAGGUUAGCCCGGGGAGAGCGCGGGGAUCACAAGCAGGGGAGCGCACAGGGCGCAAGUAGAUAGGGAACGCAGAGCUGGCGCAAAGGCCAUGGUGGGGGCGCAAAGGGCGUGGAGACCACGGAGCGCGCAGAGCCGGGAAGCCGCCGUGGGGCGAGGCGUCGAGAAGCAGCCUCGGGGUGGGCGCCGGGAAGCCAUGGGGAUAAGAGAAACAGAAGUAUAGAAGUAAAAUGAGAGAAAUAGGAAUGCUGGCAGAUAGAAGUAAAAUAGGAGAAAUAGGAAUGCCCGGAGAUAGAGAAAUAGAGAAAAAUAAGGCCUCCCCAUAACAUAGCAAUGAGAGAGCUUGGAUUCGGUCUGCCUGAUUAGUAUGACGAUAAGCACCUGUGGGCAGCUGCAGGUCACCAAAGACAGGCACGUUAUCAACACCAAUAAAUCUCCCCACAAGACGGCAAUGAGAGGGCUUGGAUUUGGUUUGCCUGAUUGGUAGGGCUUGUAAGCACCUGCAGGCAGUUCUAGCAGAGCAGAGCAUGCGCUGCAGGGCACCGAACACAGGCACGCAUCAGCGCCUAAAAAGCUCCUCACAACAUGGCGAAGAGAGGACCCGGAUUCGGUUUGCCUGAUUGGUAGGGCUUGUAAGCACCUGUGGGCAACUCUAGCAAGCAGAGCAGAGUGUGUGCCGCGGGGCACCGAAGACAGGCGCGUAUCAACACCAAAAAUAAAAAGAAAGGGGGAUCUGUGGGAAGCAACUCAGACUAGACUGCUACUGGAAUUCAGACUUAUUCUAUGCAUCUGCUCUCCCACAAUAUGGCGCUGGGAGAGGAGGAAACAGCUUCUACACAGCUGCCUCCAGUUCAACCAAUAAACAGCAGGACCUGCUCCUGAUUGGAGGAGAGCAGCGUACUCGGCGUGUGGGUAGCAGAGUUGGGAUUGGUGGAAGAGGACUAUAAAGGAGGAGAGAGACAACAUGCACAAGGAACAUCUAAGGGGAACAUCUAUCUGAAGGAACACCUGUGCUGUCCCCGAGAGAGCCGGUCGGCGGUGUGCCGCUCCCCUGCGGAAGUGGGGAAAGUGGCAGGGGGAACCGCCCUUCCACAGAGGUGGAAGGGACGGUAGCCAACCUGGGAAGAACCAGCAGCAAACCCGGGGAGGGCCGAGCAGACAAAAGAACAGCGCAGGGUCCUGUGUUGUUCCUCCACGAAGACGGGGAGCGACAAAAUCUGACUUACUGUGACAUAGUUCUGUAUCUGGUUUCUUUGAAUUCAUAGAGUUGCUACAAAUGUGUUCCUUUGUGUAGCUGUGAUUACAGACCAAGAGAUACUUUCUCUAACUUGAAUUUGUUGUACAAAUUUUUGAGCAGUCACUUGAGAGGAUGGCACAUUUUUUUAGCUGCACCUGUUUCUCAAGCACCUCCAAUUUGCCAAUCCUGCUGGUGACCUAGUGAAUUUGAAUCAAAAGAGAAAAUUGGAUGUUGAGUAUGACAUUCUCAACUUCUGUAAUUUUCCAAAAGCUGUUGGAUGUAAGGUGAAAAUAGUGUUUCUUCCCCAUGAGCAACAGUUGUCUCUCUUUGAGGAUGUAAUAGAGUGGGCCACAGAAAUUAAAGGCGUAAUCUGUUCCUAAUUUUAAGAUUCACACUACACAUUGUUACCCACAGUUGGUAUGGUAUUUUGUGUCACUUGGCUUAAUAAAAAUACCUUUACAGACAUUAAUCCACUCCCCUUCCAACCUAUAUAUGUUUCUUGUGUUUGUGGCAUCUGAGGAAGGAUAACAAAGACACUUGUUCUUCCAUAUGUUUUGAGUCUAUUUCAUGGCACAGAGUCAAUAUGGCAUGCAAUCAGUGUAUUAGAAACAGGUACUUUUAAGUUUUAAGAGCAUAGAUUCUCCAGGACUAAAUACCCUACUUGAAGUUUAGAUAACAGUCCCAACUAUGACCUACAUCCAUCUGAGUUUUCUCAGAUGCCAUGCUCAGUGCAGUGAGAGUUGUAGCCCUGGACUCAGUAAAAAUGCUCUGGAGGGAAAGCCUACCUGUUGUUUUGAUUGCACACCUUGUUCAGAAAAUGAGAUUUCCAAUCAGACAGGUAAUUCAGUGCCUGUUUCAUGGUGAAGUUAACACCUGUCUCAAAAGUCUUCAUCUUUGACAGAAAAAAAGAAGUGGAAUGUGACUGAUGAGAAAAUUCUGCCUACCUUCAGGUAGUAAUUAUCAUAUUUUAAUACAUAAUGAUCUUCAGAAGGAUAAAGAUUUUCAACUACACUAAACAUUAUUUUGUACUCAAGAAAACAUAAGAAAGAUUCAGUGUCACUGGCACUCUGACCAAGUGAUCUGUGGGAUUACAUGUGUUGUAAAAAAUGAACAGAAAUCAAUAAUGGAGAAUUUUUACUCCUGAACACUAUGUAGAAUUUCUCAUAUUUUCCAUUAAGCAGUAAGAUAUGAUCAUUGCAUAUAUCAGGAAGAUUUUCCAGCUUUAGCUUGUGAUGGAUGAGUAGUUACUUUAACCAUAUACUUGGUAUCAUUCCAGUUUUCUUGGAAACAGAUUGGUAAUAGUUAGAUUCUGGCAACAGUUAAAUCAGUUGGAGUAAGAUGUUCUAUGGGCCUGGCACCAUGGCUCACUUGGCUAAUCCAAGUUUGUAGAAUUUAUUUGAAAGAGUUUUGGAGAAUGAGGGAGAGACAAAGAAGGAGAGAUCUACUAUCUUUUAGUUGACUCCUGUCUGCAAUGGCCAGAGCUGGACCAGACUGAAGGAAUGAGCAUCAUCUGACUCAUUCAGAUGUGAGUACAGAACUCAAACCCUUGGGCCAUCCUCACUGCUUUUCCCAGGCCAUUAGCACAGUUGGAUCAGAAGUGGAGCAGCUGAGAUAGAUCCCGAGAAAUAUGAUGUGUGCAUAUACGGCAAUGCAUGUGACAACGAUUUUUAAUUGUAAUGUCCAAAGAAUUGUCUGGAAUUACACUAAUAGAUUCUGUACCUUUCACAUCGACCUCUUUAAAAACAAUGUUCUGGCUUUAUAUGUGAAAAUGAUAUCUCCUUGAUGAUAUGUUAUUUAGUAUGAUAUAUUAUUUAGUAUUAUUAGUUGGGUUGAUGGUGUUUGUGCAUUAUCGGAAGAAUAUAUUCUUGAAUGCAUUGCUUUCCAUCCAUUUUCUCUAUUACCACAGGCCUGUAUCUAUCUUUAAAAGAAACGGAGAAAUUUAUUUUCCAUGUGGAAAUCAUAUUCCCGCCUUUAAGGUGCAAGUAGUAGGCACAGGGCAAAUAAAUCCAGUUUUGAUGCAUUUAUAAAGGAAAACCACCACAAUCCUACUGCUGAGGCAGCUCCCACCACAGUCUUCUGUCAGAUGUGUCCUGCUCAGAAUCAUGUCUGUGUCAGGGACCCUUAGUGGUGCGGUGGAGUGAUCUGAUUGAAAUGGGACAAAUGUGCUGUUGGAGUGCGACAUUCCUGCAGUUUUGACCUCUACCUAAGUCAGGCCUGUUCCUGCCUUUCUACCUUUCUGUCGGGGUCAGUGCCGUGUGCUGCCCCCAGAGGGCACCCAUGGUGCUGGGUUGGAACCUGGCCCAGAGACUGCCUGAAUGCACCUGAAGUUGCCCCCCAGGGGAUCUGUGAAAUUUAGCCUCUCAGGUUGUCCCCUCCCUGCCACUCUGGGAAUUUGCAGAGACCCACACACCAGCCAUCGCUAGCCCCUGCUUUGAGUCUUAAGUGGAUGCCAGAAGCCAAGGGAGGCACCUAAGGCUUUUCGUGAGAGAAGAGAGGUGAGAACUGCAUCUUACACAGGUGUCCUUCAUGGCCCAAUGUGGCCUCUUCUGGUCCCUAUGCUGGGUCACUGAGACCUUGGAAAGAGUCGUGCUGUCCCAGCCUUAGGGAGGGCCCUGUAUUCCCCUCAUAGCUGUCUCUCAGUGCCUCAUCGAGGGGAAUGCAAGAAUCCCUGCCACGUUCUGUGGUGAGAUGUGCACCUUCCAGGGAUGUUCCUGGGCCCAGUGAGGCCUGCCAGCACCUCGCUGUGGAAAAGCCCAGUUUUCCUAUAAUGUAAAAUAAUCUUUCUUCUUUCUUUUGUCUCCUCUGACUUGGAAAAGUACCUCACAUCUCUACCCUCCAUUAGGGAAUACAGCCUCGUUGUUUCACACUGCACCCCAACGUUAGAUGAGAGUUAGCUUUACCCUUGUUAUUCUGCCAAGCCAGUUCACCUGGGUAUAAUCUGGCAAUUUGAAUCUUGCUCGUACUGAGUCUCAUCAUACAACUUGAACCUUGCUGGUAUUAGAUUUAGAGAUGCAGCGUUAUCGCCAUUUGUAUUUUAUGUUUUCUGGGGGCCAUAUGAGCUCAGAUGGUUUGGACAGGGGUUGUGUCUGUGUUUGCUUUGGUUUCACUGAUGCUCUGACUUCUGCUUAAACAAAGCCUUCCAAUUUGAUACUGCAUUAGAAUAGUCAGUAUGGCUUCUGAAUACCCUGGGACUGCUGGGCGUAUGCUCUGAUUUCAGCCUCAGUUGGUAUGUGUGGGGGUCAAGGAUCAGUGCCUCCUUGUAGUGGUGACAGGUGUCUCUGCCUAACCCUGCUGCUUCCUCUUUCUGCAUUUCUCAGGUGGUGCAGGUCUUGUGGCACUGUGUGAAGUUUCUUCCCCUUAUUCUUUCUCCUUUUUAAGUCAAUGCAAGCUGAUUGCAUUUAAAAUUCCAUUUCCUACACACUGAAAAAAGUAGAUUCCAAGGCAGAAACCAAAAGGGAGAUGUCCUGAGUUGGAACUGUGACCUAGGUCCUUGAAGGAUUUUCCCCACUAAGGAAGAUCCUCAGCUGGUUAAUUUGAUUGAAUUCCUGACUUUUUAGGAUGAGAAAACCCAAGAGCAAAGUAAUAACAUUGCAAGCACUAGAACAUUUCAGAGGGGAAACCAUUGGGCAAAAGCCAGUAGCCUCCCUGAAAGAAAUGAUUCCCUUAGGUAAAUGAAUAUGGUAAUGCAAAUGAUCAGUGUUAUGGAAAAGAAAAUGAAGUUCCUCAACUGGGCCCAACCAGACAUGGUGGGGAGCAAUGCUCAUGAAGUUCUUGUUGUAGGAGACAAUCCUAGAUAAAGAAUACAAGUUCUCCACAGGUUUAAAUCAUACACUGGUGCUCACAGCCAAUCUGUCCAAACACACAAGAAAUAUGAUAUAGUUGAUGAUCAUUAAAAAAGCAAUAUUAAAUUGAAAACAAUUUAUUUUGACUUAUAGCUCUCAACAAUUAGAACUGACAAUUUCAAAAUUUAAAAUAACGAAUAACCAACUGCUUUUAGAGUCAAAGUUGGAAUUAUAAAGUUGAUCCUGUUACAAGUUCCACUUGAAUUCCAACAGCCUUGCAGACCUUUAGAGAAGGGAAGAAGUAGAAAAGUAGGAAGAUAUGUUAAGAAAUAAAGAGGAAUCAGGGGAAAUGCAGAAGAAUGAGCAAGUAAUAAUUGAGUUGCACAUAUGUGUAUUCGUUCUGUGAAGAAUCUAUUCUAUUCUGCCUUGGCUUGUUUCCUUAUUUUGUUUUAAAAUAGGACUGCUACUAUUGGUUGAACUCAGUAAUUAACACACAAUUAUUCUUAGGUGUUUAAAUCUUAACUGAAAAUGAUCCCUGUUAAAUAUAGGAGUGGGAAUAAGAGAGGGAGGAGAUGUACAAUCUGGGACAUGCUCAAUCGGACUUGCCCCAAAUGGUGGAGUUAGA